rnacentral:rRNA from 1 species
GAUGAGCCCGCGGCCUAUCAGCUUGUUGGUGAGGUAACGGCUCACCAAGGCACUGACGGGUAGCUGGUCUGAGAGGACGAUCAGCCACACUGGGACUGAGACACGGCCCAGACUCCUACGGGAGGCAGCAGCAGGGAAUAUUGCACAAUGGGCGCAAGCCUGAUGCAGCGACGCCGCGUGAGGGAUGAAGGCCUUCGGGUUGUAAACCUCUUUCAGUGGGGAAGAAGCGAAAGUGACGGUACCCACACAAGAAGGCCCGGCCAACUACGUGCCAGCAGCCGCGGUAAUACGUAGGGUGCAAGCGUUGUCCGGAAUUAUUGGGCGUAAAGAGCUCGUAGGCGGUCCGUUGCGUCUGCCGUGAAAACCCGGAGCUCAACUCCGGGCCUGCGGUGGAUACGGGCGGACUAGAGUCCGGUAGGGGAGACUGGAAUUCCUGGUGUAGCGGUGGAAUGCGCAGAUAUCAGGAGGAACACCGGUGGCGAAGGCGGGUCUCUGGGCCGGAACUGACGCUGAGGAGCGAAAGCGUGGGGAGCGAACAGGAUUAGAUACCCUGGAAGUCCACGCCGUAACGGUGGGCGCUAGGUGUGGGGAUCG